CAAUAGCUCUGUGCUAUCAGAAGACAUUUCCUUCACGGCACAGAGCGUCUGAGUAAUGAUUUCGAGCCGGCUUCACCCAUUUCCGGUGGAAGGAGGCAAGUGGCCGGUCCCCGCCCCUGCACGGCCCUCUCCGAGCCCCGCCGCCCAGCAGCCUCCGGCUGGAAGACGGGCCUCUCUUCCCUUUGCCGUCCCGGGCCCGGCACCCCGAGUAGCAGAUUCACUCGGAAGGCCUACGCAGAGCACCGUCGCCGUGACUGGCUCGUACUCUCAUCUGCGUGCCGUUCACAGGUGGCUUUGACGGCGAAAAGGCGGGUCGAGAAGGUCACACCUUUGUGGAAGGACUCUGUCCCUCAGAAGGAUGAGCAUUUUGAAUCCCUUUCUUCGAGUGCUGUCUUGCAAACUUCUUGUGUGGGUUUUGGGGCUCAUCUACAAGGCUGCAGGACUCCCAGCAUCCAGAGGGAAUUUAGACCAACCUCUUUCUUGGGGCAUCGAAGGAGAGCACGGCCCUGGGCUUCUUGGAGCAGUUCCAGCUGGGGGUAUUCACCCGUGUGACCUAGGACGUGCUGCUGAGCGGGGACCCCCGUCAGCGAGCUCGCCUGCUAGGAGGCCACCUUGCCAGCAGGUGGGGAAAGUGCCCGUCCUGGCCUUACAGCCGUGUUCAGGCUUCACGGAUGGGGCUCAGGCUGGAGGGACCGAGCAUCAAACAGGGGAAACCAGCAGGGAUGCAGAGCCAGCGGAGGCUGCCUCCACGUUCACUUUAAGCCCGGACUCAACCAGAACCCCCUGCACUCGUCUUUCCCGGCCACACGGACAAAGCCACCUGGAGCGGGACAGAACGGAGCCGGCGUGAAAAGAGAGGCCAAGGUGACCGCGGCUCCGGCACGGAAUGGCGCUCUCUCUGGAAGGCUGGAGGAGUUACCUGUGAAAGUCCCGGGCCUUGGUGCUUGUUUGCAGUGGCUCUUCCAUUUUUUCCCCAAACUUGCUUCCCUUCCCGGCUCGUCUGAGCCUGUUGGCCUCCCGUCCCAGCUGCAGUCUGAGAAAGAAUGGCUCCAGCGUCCCCCGGCCUUCCUGUGGCCUGAGGACACUGCGUGGGGAGAGGACACAUCAGAGAGCACGUGGGCGCCUUGCCUUUGAUCUGAAAUAGUUUCCCGGACCGCUGCAGGGCUCACUUCCCAAGCAGGGGUGUGCAUCUGUUUUCUGGGAGGUAGAGACCCAUCUCUGACCUCCAGCCCCUCCCCCAAUUCAGUGCAGGGCCCUGGACGCUGAUCUGACGGCCCUCUGACGUCCUCUCCUUCCCACUGGAGGCCCAGCCAGCGAGGGCUUUUUCUAUGCACUUGCCCCGGCUGUGUGGUGACCCACUGGGGUCAACGUCACUCCAGAGUCUCAGGCUUCUUUUCUUCCCACCUCACUCGGCUUCCUCUCUCUCUCUCACCGGCCUGGAGGGCGGAGGAGCGGAGCUGGGAUUCCCGUCACCCCGCUCUGGCAUCUUCCAUCGUUACAAUUUGUCGUCGUUUUUGGAAGUUUGUGGAGGCAGGUGGGAAAGCAAUAAGUGAUCAUAAAUGCUUUUCAGGGUGGGGACGCUGCCCCCGUUGGUCAGGAACCAGGGAAGGAAGGUGAGCGUGUUGCAUGAUCUGCGACAUGACUUCUGGUUACCCUACAACUAACUCUAUAUUUAGAUAAAUACUCAGCCCUCUAGACAAAGGACUUUGUGAAAAAUGAUUCCGUUGUGUAGAUUUACUCCUUGUUGAGAAAGGACGUGUGAGUGUCUGAGGGUGGAACAGAGACGACAGAAC